UGGGGAAUUUUGGACAAUGGGCGAAAGCCUGAUCCAGCAAUGCCGCGUGUGUGAAGAAGGCCUUCGGGUUGUAAAGCACUUUUGUCCGGAAAGAAAUCCUUGGCUCUAAUACAGUCGGGGGAUGACGGUACCGGAAGAAUAAGCACCGGCUAACUACGUGCCAGCAGCCGCGGUAAUACGUAGGGUGCAAGCGUUAAUCGGAAUUACUGGGCGUAAAGCGUGCGCAGGCGUUGCUUGAAGACCGAUGUGAAAUCCCCGGGCUCAACCUGGGAACUGCAUUGGUGACUGGCAGGCUAGAGUAUGGCAGAGGGGGGUAGAAUUCCACGUGUAGCAGUGAAAUGCGUAGAGAUGUGGAGGAAUACCGAUGGCGAAGGCAGCCCCCUGGGCCAAUACUGACGCUCAUGCACGAAAGCGUGGGGAGCAAACAGGAUUAGAUACCCUGGUAGUCCACGCCCUAAACGAUGUCAACUAGUUGUUGGGGAUUCAUUUCCUUAGUAACGUAGCUAACGCGUGAAGUUGACCGCCUGGGGAGUACGGUCGCAAGAUUAAAACUCAAAUGAAUUGACGGGGUCAUAGCUGUUUCCU
rnacentral:rRNA from 1 species